rnacentral:rRNA from 1 species
CUACGGGAGGCUCCAGUCGAGAAUCAUCCGCAAUGGGCGAAAGCCUGACGGUGCAAUGCCGCGUGGGGGAUGAAGGCCCUCGGGUCGUAAACCCCUGUCAGGAGGGACGAAGAAGUGACGGUACCUCCAGAGGAAGCCACGGCUAACUACGUGCCAGCAGCCGCGGGAAUACGUAGGUGGCGAGCGUUAUUCGGAUUUACUGGGCGUAAAGGGUCCGCAGGGGGUUUGCCAAGUCUGGUGUGAAAUCUCACAGCUCAACUGUGAAACUGCGCUGGAUACUGGUGAACUAGAGUGCGCGAGGGGUGAGUGGAAUUCCUGGUGUAGCGGUGGAAUGCGUAGAUAUCAGGAAGAACACCAACGGCGAAGGCAGCUCACUGGCGCGCAACUGACCCUCAUGGACGAAAGCGUGGGUAGCAAACAGGAUUAGAUACCCUCGUAGUC